AGGAGGGGGCUACUACUCAGCUCCAGCUGAUUCUUGCCAUGCGGAAAUAGAGGGUCAGAUGAUCUUCAAGAGGUGUAAAAUCCCAGUGAAAUUAUUAGGAGAUAUCUGGCUACAGAAAUGACUUUGGGAUCAGUUUCUCCAGCGACUUUUUAAUGGAACACUGAAGAGUGACUUUGAGAUCAAGUUGACUUGCUCUUGGUGACCAGAUCUGAUGUAUCCAAAGGUUUCCCAGCUUUAAGGGCCACCAAUUCUCCUGCAUGCUUCACCCCAGCUGAACUCCUGAAUCCCUCUGUGUGUCUGAGGAUGUUUGGGGAGUCUGGAAUCGAUGAUCCAGCAGUGUGUUUCAGGAACAUCACAUCCGGAAUGAAUCACCCUUCACUCCCUUUAACAGAUCAGUCUUCAGGGGAAGCUGAUUGCUCCCCUAUCCAUAUCAUACUUUGAUUCAUUUACACUUAAGUGAUGAAAGUGGUCUUUUCCUUCUCUUUCUUUAAAUGGAUACUAACCCAGGAGGGGCUUGGGGAGUUGUAAAGGGGAGUGCUGACUCCUUGGAUACACUCUUGGUUGCAUUCUCAAAUGGCCCACUCAAUUAGGGGUAAUAUUUCAUUGACUUGUGUGUCUGAUGGCUCCCUAGCCAGCAGUGUUUUCUAAAUGGUCCUGAGGCAAGACUUUGGGCUUUGAAAACAGCCCUUUAUCACCUUUAUGUCUGGGGCUGCAUUGGCACAGCCCAGAUUGAAGCAGUUAUCUCCAUCGGGGAAGCAGCCACAGUCUCUGGCUGGAAUGUCUUGGCUUGGCUGGCUUCACUUGUCAAGAGAAUGGGUAUUCUGACACUAUCUAGGGCUGAUUUCAUGCAGCUGCAUUAUCUAUAUGUUGAAUCUGACCAUUCAGGUACUUGUCUGUAUUUUCUAUAACAGAAAGAAAUGGUUGGAUUAACAAAAAAAUCAGGGUCUUUAUAUCUUUUCCUGUGUCUGCACAGGAAGUGUGGAUGUGUUCAAAUAAUCAUCUAAUUUCUCCAGAAGACUUCAUGUCAAUGCAUGUUCCAAAUUGACCUUAGCUUUAAGUGUGAAGCAAGCAGUUACUCUGCAUGGUAUUUACAUCAAUACUCCAACUUUUGUUAGAGAAAUUUAAUUCAAUGGUUGUGUGUGUGUGUGUGUGUGUGUGUGUGUGUUUGUGUGCUCUAGUCUCUAGGUGUGGACAACAGUGGAAAUUUUCCUAGUGACUGGAAGAAUACACAAUGUAGAUGACCUUCUACUCUAUCUAAUUAUAAAACUGAUAUGAUCUGAAUCUA